CCCAGUAAGCUCAAUCGGUAGAGUGUGAGACUCUUAAUCUCAAGGUUUCAGGUCAGUAGCUGGUCCAAUACACAGCUAUUUGCG